GACGUAGGGUGCGAGCGUUGUCCGGAUUUAUUGGGCGUAAAGAGCUCGUAGGCGGCUCGUCGCGUCGACCGUGAAAACCCGCGGCUUAACCGCGGGCUUGCGGUUGAUACGGGCGGGCUAGAGUUCGGUAGGGGAGACUGGAAUUCCUGGUGUAGCGGUGAAAUGCGCAGAUAUCAGGAGGAACACCGGUGGCGAAGGCGGGUCUCUGGGCCGAUACUGACGCUGAGAAGCGAAAGCGUGGGGAGCGAACAGG
rnacentral:rRNA from 1 species